rnacentral:rRNA from 4 species
GUUUCCGUAGGUGAACCGGAAGGAUCAUUA